rnacentral:rRNA from 1 species
UACGUAGGGUGCAAGCGUUGUCCGGAAUUAUUGGGCGUAAAGGGCUCGUAGGCGGUCCGUCACGUCGGGAGUGAAAACUUGGGGCUUAGCCCCAAGCCUGCUUCCGAUACGGGCGGACUAGAGGUAUGCAGGGGAGAACGGAAUUCCUGGUGUAGCGGUGGAAUGCGCAGAUAUCAGGAGGAACACCGGUGGCGAAGGCGGUUCUCUGGGCAUUACCUGACGCUGAGGAGCGAAAGCAUGGGGAGCGAACAGG